UUAAGUUGAUGCUUUUGGAAGUGUCAUGGUGUGAAAUGGAAGGUAACCUCGGCACUUGUAUAAGUGUCAUUGAAAUGGAGUUCAGACAUUGGCACUUAUAUUAAGCGUCAUUGAAUUUACUAGUAUAUAUUUCUUUCUUUUUCCUCAUCCUAACACAUUACACUCUCAUCCCAACCCUUGGAGCCCUAAGCCAGGACAAUCACCCUCAUCUUCAACCACCAUCAGCACUAAUCGAUGAGAAAAUGUUACGAACAUGUUGAAGGAGACCACCAGGCUAUGCUUUUAUCGACUUUGAUGAUCGUAUGUUUUAAAGAUUUUCUUGUAAUGGUGUUUAUUGUUCUUGAAUUUUCUCUAUGCUUGAACCCCAUGCCAACAACCAUUUCAUCUCCUUUCUCUAAUUUCUGGACAAGUUUGUCUUCCUCUUCACCUCAAUAAUUAUUAUUAAUUUUCAUUGCUAUUCAGGGUUGGAG